AGCAUAAUCAAUUGUCCUUUAAAUAGGGACUAGUAUGAACGGCACCACGAGGGUUUAACUGUCUCCCCCCCUUAAUUAAUGAAAUUUAUCCUCCCGUGAAGAAGCGGGAAUACUACUAUAAGACGAGAAGACCCUAUGGAGCUUUAAACUUAUUACCAUUUAUUUUAUAAAAUAACAAAUCAUUUAAUAUUAAUGUUCUCUAAUAGUUUUCGGUUGGGGCGACCCUGGAGAAAAACAAAUCCUCCAGAUUGAAAGGAAAUAAUCCUUAUAUAAGAGUUACAACUCAAAUAAACAAAAACUUGACAAAACUGACCCAGAAUUAACUGAUCAGUGAACCAAGUUACCCUAGGGAUAACAGCGCAAUCCAUUUUAAGAGCCCAUAUCGACAAAUGGGUUUACGACCUCGAUGUUGGAU
rnacentral:rRNA from 1 species